GAGGGGAGGAGCGGAAGAUGGCGCCCUCGCCGGCCCUCUCGGCGGCGUGGAGGGGAGGGACGGAGGAAGGCACCCUAGCCGGCCGUCGCCACGGCGGGGAGGGAAGGGGCGAAAGAGGGGAAGGAGAGGUGUGGAAAAUGGCGUUGUCGCCCGACACGCCCAAGAAGGGGUUUAGUGGUAGGGGUCUCGGCCGCACGUGGGCGGUGGAGGAGGGUACCUAGACGUGCGUAGGGCCAGCUACUCCCGUUGAUCAAGUUACCACUUCGAGCUGGAAGGUCUAGGUACCGUCGUCGAUACUCCCGACCGGAGUGCCUCGUCUCGACUCGACGCGGGAAGGGUACGAGAAGUAGCUAGACGGGGCGGCGGCGCGGCCUGCCGCGGCGGAACGAAAGAGAGGAAUAAAAGGGAGGAAUGGGAGUGAGUUAGAGAGAGCACGACAUGCACUUCGGUACCGGUAGAGCUUUUAGAAAAGGUGGGCGGCGACGAGAUCUAAGCCGGCAGUGGUACCAAAGAGCACAGCCUAGGUCGGUGGCAGUCGGUCUAGGCCGCGGAUCGAUCGACGGGCCAAUUAAAGGCGGUGGAGCGGCACAGGGCGUCGUGGCCCUCUGUGGCAGCACGAGGGUAGAAGGUGGGGACGUGGGCGUCGACGAGUCCCGCAGCAGGGGGUUUACGUCGAGCCAACGGCGAGGGUACGUCGAGCCCACGACGGAAGAGAGGAAAGGCGAGCGGUACGACGAACCCCUCCUUACCUCGUCGCUGCCUCCUCGCGCGAGUACCGCCCCCGUCUUCCCUUGUCCACGUCAAGUGGGGUGGUUUUCCUCGCGCUGGCUCGAGGGCUCGGGCUACAACCGCUAAACCGAAGGAGCACGUCAAGUUGUCACGGUGGUUACUGGGAGGGCGCUGCUGGUCGACGUCCGUCAAACCGGUCGUCGAUGCCGCUGGUGAGACGAGAGAGGGGGAACAGGUGUACACAAGUAAGUGUGUCGUCAGGCCGUCGAGGUGGCCGCCGUACACGUCAAGUGAGGUACGCUCGAGUCUCUACGAGCGCUACGGCAAGCCUCGAACACACGCACGUUAUGUCGCUCGCGGUAGAGAAGGGUAACCAUCGACCUGGUACCGGCACGGUGAGCCUCUACGAGCGGUACGUCAAUCCCCGAACACACGUACGUCAGCUCUCUCGUGGUAGAGGUAGAGAAGGGUACACCAGGCAGCUGGUACCAAGACGUCGAGCCUCUGCCAGCGGUACGCCAAGUCCCGAGUACGCACACCUCAGGCCGUUCCCGGUAGAGAAGGGGACGUUAGACGGCUGGUACUGUACGUCAAAACCGCUGAGAGCGCACGCCAAGUCCCGAGCAAGCGCACGUUAGGCUGUUCGCAGGCACGUGCAGUUCACGUCGAUCGCAGGCACGUGUCGUCGCGAGAUGGUGUUGUAAGUCUUUUUCUCCUAAGGGGCCAAACCUUUUACCUAUCGAGAGCUUAGAUGAGGAGUGUUAGCAAUAUACGACGAGAAUUGAACGCACACACGACAAUACGAACAGAAAUCGGGCCGAGAUACCGUCGAAGUACUAGGGGGAUCCAACGUACACAAGGAGAACGACAUCGACCAUCAUCGAGUAUUAAAAAAAAAAUUUUUUUGCACUGUUAGAACAUUUUCUUUUUCAUAGAGAUUGCGAAACACAAACAACACGAGAUCUGUUCUUGCA
rnacentral:rRNA from 1 species